CCUACGGGUGGCAGCAGUGGGGAAUAUUGGACAAUGGGGGCAACCCUGAUCCAGCCAUGCCGCGUGUGUGAAGAAGGCCCUCGGGUUGUAAAGCACUUUUAGUGAGGAAGAACGCCUGGUGGUUAAUACCCAUCAGGAAAGACAUCACUCACAGAAGAAGCACCGGCUAACUCCGUGCCAGCAGCCGCGGUAAUACGGAGGGUGCGAGCGUUAAUCGGAAUUACUGGGCGUAAAGCGCGCGUAGGUGGUUUGAUAAGCCGGUUGUGAAAGCCCCGGGCUCAACCUGGGAACGGCAUCCGGAACUGUCAAGCUAGAGUGCAGGAGAGGAAGGUAGAAUUCCCGGUGUAGCGGUGAAAUGCGUAGAGAUCGGGAGGAAUACCAGUGGCGAAGGCGGCCUUCUGGACUGACACUGACACUGAGGUGCGAAAGCGUGGGUAGCAAACAGGAUUAGAUACCCCAGUAGUC
rnacentral:rRNA from 1 species